rnacentral:lncRNA from 1 species
UUUGUUCAGAGUUUUCUGUGUACCUGUGUCUGCAGGGAUCAGGAUGUGGCUUUCCUCUGGGUAUGGAAUAGAUGCAUAUUCUGAUUGCCUCUUCUGGAAAGACUUAUCAGAAACUCAAAAGAACACAACCAUCUGUCUCUCACCUACAUGUGACCUGGAAGACCCCAGUUGGCGGCAGUGGGUUGAGCAUUUUAUUGCCCUGGAAAAGAUUGUGGUUUUGUUGCAAGGAAGAAGAGAAGAAUGACAUUUUUGUGGUAAAUGAAUACCUAGCUUCUUGUUUACGGUAGCAGCUUCUUGCCUUCAGAAGUGAAGAAUUGAGAGGAACAUGAAUGCAUUCAUCGGAUCACCAGCUUCCCAAUGACAUUGCUAAAAUUCCUUUGAUUUAGUAAUAUUUGCUGAAUAUGUUUUUCUUAUAUUUCAUAAACCUUCUUUGUAAUCAUUUAGUCAAUUAAAUGUGAAUAUAUGCUUUCGAGUAUCAUGUUGCUCUAUUUGCUUUCAGUAUAUUUGAGUGCGAAUUAUUGCAUUUACUUAUGCUGAUAAUUCUUCUCUAACUUGCAAUUGUGCUUUCCAAUUGUUAAUUUUUUGUUCAACUUUAUCCUAUAUGCUUUUGGGUACAAAAACACCUGUAUGCAAGAAUUUUGAAGAUGUUUUUGUUAGGGAUUAAGGGCUACACACUAAUUGGGCUAUAUUUUAUUUUAAAUGUUAAGUUGUAUUUUCUCGUAGCAAAGAUAAAAUAUUAUUUCAGAAAUCAACCUUAUACUUCGCACCGGUUUGAGAUUUCAAUUUUCUGUAGUUUUUUCUGUCUACCUUGACAGUUGGAAAAUAGCAAGCCUUGGGCUGCAGUCCUGGCCAUUGUCCUUUUAUCUCCCAACCCCCUUAUUUACUCUGGAAAAUACGUCAGUGCUCCAGUGUUGCACACAGUGUAUGUUAGUUGUAGCUCUCUAACACCCAUUACAUAAGUUCUAAAAAUCUUAGGUCAAGGAGGCUUUAAAAUCCUAAUGUUUACCUCCAAUCAGUUAUAUCUGUAUCUAAUACUCCUGUGGUCCAGAAAGACUUAGAUUUUUUUUUUUUUUUUUUUUUUUUUUUUUUUUUUUUACUAAUGUGGCACAGCGUUCUUUUAUAUUUUUUGCCACAGAGGUUUCCAUUUCUUUGUUUUGUGCUUGACAUAUAUGUUGAAGUUUCAGGAUAUUUUCUAUAACUGUGUGUAUUUGUAGUAGAAAAGGGACACUUCUACAUCAGCCUCGUUUGCCAUUAUUUCCUAAAGUCCUUAUAAUGCCUUCCGUAAUACGUGUGGGUACACAGUAUUAUAGUAGAACAGGAUGGAAUGAAUCUACCUCAUUAUGCCUGAGAUGGUAAUGAAAAAUCUUAUAAGUGAUAUGAUAAAUAAUAAGUAGAUGUUUAAUGUAGUUAAAGCAUACCAGACAAUGGGGAUAGGAAGUGAAAUAAUUUAAUGACAGAAAGAAAGCCAUUUAGCAUAACGCAGAUAGUUAACAAUUUCUAAAGUUAUGGAUGAAUAUGCAGGAGUUUUAUUAAUAUAAACUCAUAGAUUUGUGAGUAUAAACUAUCUUGGGUCAUUCCAGACUAAUUUCUUAUUGCUCAGAUGUGCUCUGUAUUCCUGUAUCUCUAAACAUUUUUAUAUUUGGAAUACAUUUUCUCCACUACUACCAUCACAUUCUACCCAUGAAUCACAAGCUGCAUCUCCAGCAUUAAGAUCUUCUUAACUCUUCAUCCUCUCUCCCUGUUGUUUUCUCUCCUUCUGUUCAUAUUUUUAAAAAUAUUUCUGCAUUUGUUUUUUGAUGUUUUUAAAAUAGGAUGACACUGCUAUAUUUCACUUUAUUUAAUUCUCAGAAAACCCAAAAUAAAUCAUUAUCAAUCCCCUACCUUUAACAAAUAAGACAAAUACUUAUCUUUCCAACUAUUUUGCAAUAAUUAGGUAGCAGAGCAAAGAUUAGAACUAACACUUCUUAACUUCUUCUAAAACGUCUCUGCUUGAGGACCAAAGAACCUGUCUUUUUCGUUUUUUUUGGGGGGCAUGGUUCCUGACAUGAGGAGUCUCACAUUAAGUCAGAGUUCAUUAAAUGCUUGUUGAAUUUAAUUGACUCAGCUCUUUUCUAAUCCACUCCCUACCUCAAAGUCUAAAGAAGAAUUGCCUUUUCCAGGCUGGCACAUUGGGCCUUCCUAUAAAAAGCAGCGGCUAUUGCCGUUUCUCCAGGAAGAUAUGAAUAAUGACUUCAAUUUUAUGGCUAUCAAUAGCAGAAAAUUAGUGACCGAAAGGCUAAUACAGAGUAGAAAUCUGAGGAUGGUUAGCAACUAAAACAGCUGUGUCUCACCAUCUUCUCUGUUAACAUUCUCUAAAAAAAAAAAAAAAAAAAAAAAAAAAGUGUUUUUCUUCUCUCUAGUCACUAGCACCAUAGUGGAACCAGUAAGAGCCUUCUGUAUGUACUGUCAAUCAUUGUCUCUUAUUUACAAAAAAUGCUAUAUGAUUUCUAAGUUAAAAUGCUUCAUAAGCCAUAACAUUCAAUACAAAUAUGUCUGUUCUAUUAUUAUUAUUACUAUUACUACUACUAUUAAUGUAUUAAUAAUAUAAUGAGUAAUUGUUUGGUAAAGCAAAAAUUAAGCAAGUGUGGAACAGCCUUAGAACUAUAGCUUUGAAUAUUUUUUACAAUCACGCAUUCACAUUAGCAGCUGCUGCUAAAUUAACUGUGUGAAACAGCAUUUAUUCAGACAGUUUGCCUAGUUUUAUGAAGUAUCAUUUAGCAAAGAGACUCAAAAAUAAAUUACAUUUUUAUCUUCAAUUCUCCUUAAAGUUGGUAACUUGAUUGUUCUUAUACAUGUCAUAACAUCUACACCUAAAAUUAUGCUGUUUAUUACUAACAACACAAAGAUGACAUUGCUUGGGCUAAAUUGUUGAAAUCCUCAGUUAGCAUUAUUGAAGAUAACUUUAAGGAUCCUUCUGUAAUCAGAUUUCUUGUAACUCUAAUUGGAAUAUGCCUGAUCUAGUGUAGUUGUUAGUAUUUAAACAAAUGAUUAGUUGCAUAAAUUUGAAUUAAAACAAAUAGUGAUUUCUCCAUAAAAAUUAAAAUUGAAAGAAAAUAAUACCAAGGAUAACUUAUGGAGUUAUCUACAGGACAGUAAGAACUGACAUACAAUGAAGAUCUCUUUUUUAUGAGUUGAAAUUUAUUAAUUAUGUUACUGUUUACAUUAGUAAUUACAGUUAAAACCUGAUAUUUUUAUAAAUAAAAUUUUCUGUUGCAAAAUAAAUUAUAAGUGAUUUAUUAAAAUAUACCUAUUCAUAUGUUAGCCCCCCUCUUUUUUGUGCUUAUGAGAGAAGAUACAGUGAAGAAAGGCAGAGAUUCCUCAGGCAUGUGAUCUAUUCAACUGCAUUCACAUGGACGCUACUUCUAAAAUACUCACGAUUUUAAAAAUCGCGAUUGAUUUUAUAAAUUAGAAAAUUCAGUGCUAAAAGGGCAGAAUUUUAUAAGGAAAUGCCAGUCAUCUCUAUUACAAGAUUCCAUAAUUUUGGUAAUAUAGCCUGCCUUUAAGUGACCCUCUUUUAUAUUUUCUGAACUUAAUAUAUAGGUUACUUCUUUGGGUUAAGUCCAACAAAGCCAAGUUAAAAAGCAAAUGUUCUCUAUAAAGAAACAUAAAAGCUAUUAUGAUCAUUUAAAACGUACCUUUGAAUAAUUUAUGUUUGAUCAUAGUGGUUGAGCUUGAAAUGAGAAAGAAUAUGAAACAGCAAGCUUUAAUAUAGUAUAAUAAUUUUGGAGAAUAACUAUGGAGAAGUUAGUGGAUGUACCAAAGACAUAUUAAAGACAUUAGAAUCUUGAUAUUCUUGUUCAAAUUUGAUCAUUUCUAGCUAUAGAAAACAAAUUAUGCAUACUUCUCAAUUUUACUUAAACUAGGUCCUUAAGAAAAACACAUAAGAAUUAGUGCUGUAUGUGGAGUAAAUAUGGAGAUUAACUUAAUCCAAACUAUAGUUGAGCCACUGAAAGUAAGAACUACACAUUAACCUAGGAUUCAAAUACUAGGGAAUGCCUUAUUAACUGUGUUUAUCUUGAGCAAACUGGAAAUAACUCUUUCUACCUUUGUUUCCUAAUCUAUUGAGUGAGUAUAAUAAUUCCUACCUUAAAGGUUAUUAUAAAAAUUCCAGGAGCUUAUGCAGGUAAGACACUUAAACCAAUGUUUAGCUUGUCUUGAACAGUAAGGAUCAACUAUUGCCAUGGAUGUAUGGUUGAAACCUAGGAUUCUUCAAAGCCAGCAAUGUGUUCAUGUUGUCCCUUCACUGAAAUAACAUUCUAAAAAUUGGAAAUAUUCUUACACCUAUGUCUCUUAUGUUAUUUACUCUCACUAACAUCACUUUAUUACACAAUUCAAUUAUCUGUAAAAUACUACAUUUAACCAUAUUAAAUUGCCAAUAUUUGACAAUUGUUCAUCCUCAGAAAAGACAGUUUAAAAUGACUCAAUCUAUUAAUCGCCCUUAAUUUUUCACUUUUCUUUUGACUCCCUGCUUCCCUCCCUGUUCCAUCUAUCUACUGUGCUGCAGCAAAAUUAAUAUUCUAAAAUAUAAUUUUGUAGUCUGACAGCUCUCAGAAAUUCUUAGGAUUCCACUGAUACUUUAUUUUUUUAAAUUCAAAUGUGGAACAAGAUUCCCUGUAAUUUUUCCCCAAAGGUAAAUUUUCAAAUAAUAUCUCAAAGAUCAUUAAACAUGCUCCUUUGGCUCUGGGUGGCACAGUUGCUGCUACCCAUAUAGAUGAGCCUACACUUUUCCUGUAACUGGGGGAUCCUUAGGAGACUUCAUUCAUCUCAGGAAUCCAGUAGUUGUGAUUACAGUGCCCCAACUCCAAUUCAAAACAGGACAUUUUUUUUUUUUUUAAAAAGAGGAUUUUGGUUUACACUAUCUUUUGUUAAGCAACAUUUUUCAGUUACUUCUGUGUUGUCUUUCCUCCUACUGAUUUAACAAAUCACUUGUCAUUGUAAGCUGUGAGAAAAGCUAUUUAGAGGGACAGUUACGCAAAGUGUACCUUUGCCUAAGACUUAGGGAUGAACACUCUCAGAAAUGUUCACCAAUAUUUCUCAAAAUCUUGUCCCAAGGACACACUUGGGACUGUUUAGCCCCUCAUCAACUCUUGACCAUUAUAUCAACUUGAUAGAUAAUAUAGAUAUUAAAUUGAUACCAAUUCUACACAUUUCAUAUCUAAAUAGAAUAUGUAUUCGUCCUAUGACAAAAGGCUGCUGGCAUUUUACUUGAGGGACUGAUACACAGAGUGGGAAAUGAAUAUUAGAAACCUGUGACGGUACCUAAAGGGGUAAUAAGACACAGAAAAACUAUCAAAGGGAGCUAGGUUUCAGCUUCCUGUAUUGAGCUUCUAUUCUCCAACACUGACUCUAUUACUAUGAAUAAUUUUAGGCUUGCUAAUGGCUUCUAUUCUCUGAAUAUGCUAAUGUUCUUCUCAGUUUCAGAUCUUUUAAUCUUCAUAGUCUUCCAUUUAAAAUUUCUUCUUGUAACAUUCAAAUCUUACUCUUUAUUGAGGCUAAUAGUGAUAGUUUCCUUUGAAACCUUCACUCGGCAGUAGAACAUAGUAUAAGAUGAGGGGGUGCAAUUUUUUUCAAUUUUCCCAAUAUAGUCCUGGUUUGAGUCUGUGGCCCCAGAAAUUAUUAAUAGCACCCCUUUUCAUAUUCACAAAUUUUCUGUUUUGGAUGAUAAAUUAAAUAAUGACAACGAAAAAUAAUAUUGAUGUAGCAGUAAUGUUUGUUAUUCAUGAAGUUUGUAUAAAUUUGAAGCUCCCACAAUUUCAUUAUUUUUAAGCAUACAAUGAAAUGACAUGAAUUUUAAAGUAUUAGUAAAUAAGUAAUAUUUCAGGUGCCUCAUAAUUAAUCUCUCUGAAAUAAUUACAUGUUUUUGUUUUAUAAUUCCAAUUCACACAUCUCAUACUGUAUAUUAUAUGUAUAUAUUUUUAACUUAAAAGCUUUUAACUAAUUUAAGACAUAUUAUCUCUUCUGUGCCUUUUUCAGAAUUUAAUCUGCUACAAAUAUAAUGUGAUGUAUGAACAGAAAAAUAUUGUUUAAUAAAAUUGUGAAUGGAAAC